AAAAUUAAAAAACAUGAGGGAGUGCAAAAAGCAUAUGCCAAUUUCCUGGGAGCCCACAAGGACACAAUGACAAACAAAUAUUCACUUUAAGGACAGGACAAGAUGUAGAAUGAAGUCAUGGUGAGACGGAAACAUUAAGUCAGGAAAAAUCUUACAUCUUAAAGGGCCCAUAUCAUGCAAAAUCCACUUUUUAGACAUUUUGGAGCGUCCCUAUGACUCUAUGGGUCACAUAUACACACACUGAGCACGGUAGAAAUGCAUUUCCUGCUUUUUUCACAUUUUGAAAACGUAAAUUUUCUCAUCCAAUGAAAACAGCCACGACCUACUCCGAGGCCGUUCCCCAGGUUUCGUCAUACUGGUUGAAAGUUCUCCUUGCAAAUCCUGAACCACCACCCCCACAAUGAUCCCGAACCAAAACUGGACUUCCGCCAUUUCCCCCCUCUCACUCACCGUGAACAGACCAGCACGGCAGCGCCCAAGUCCUCCCAUAGAAAUAGUUCGGUUCUUGGGUGUUCUAACCAACACCAAAGUCUAUUCACUUUAACAAGGGAUCAACAAGUGAGGACUUUGUGGGUGACUUUUAUUUUUAACGGACCGGUGCCAGAAACACUGCCUCAGCAUUUAUACGUAUGUGCAUUUCAAACGAGGGUGCGUACAAUGCUGGAUUUGUUUAACGGCUCCUGUUGGAAAAAAAGGAUCUAUUCCUAAAGUCCGUCAUCCACUCACUGAAGAGGGCAAAUCCCAGUUGCCCACAUGCAAGGAGGCUGUCAAACAGAGAAAUCACUGCAGACUGUUGGUACACAGACAUCUGCUGCCCAGCUCAGGAGUAAAGGUAUGUAAGUUUGUAUGUACCAACAGUAAGAUAGGUAAUAGAAGAUUUUAAUUGGUAUAUACUGUUUAGAUUUUAUAUUUGAAUUGUAACAACUGUUUAUCUGUUGUUUUAGCACAGACAGGCCUGUCCUCUUGUUUGGUUUAAUUUUUUGUCUGGUAUUGUGUGUUCUUACAUUAGAGAAGGUUUUGACCUACAUAAUAAUUAACAUUUCACUAAUCUACAAUUCUGAUUGCACUACCUUUUGUUUUGAUGAGGUGAUGGUGAGGACAGCCACAGCUUCCAUCUGGUAGAGGACUGCUUCCGCUCAGUCUUCCAAAUAGUGAUGAGAACAAGGAUCACCACAUCUCCCUGUUUACCCUACUUUCAUGCAUUUCGUCUGCAAGGCCCUGCAAAAGCUUCUCCUUCGUCCUCAAACCCCCAGACUUCUUAAUUAACUCAGUAACCUAUACAUUGCACAUUGGAGUGUGAAGGUAACAGUUUGUUCUAGCUUUGGCGUAGUGGUGUAUUUUUUUGGUUUACAAUAAAGUUGGCUUUAACUAUUA